rnacentral:misc_RNA from 1 species
CUGCAAAACCUCUUCCUCAGAAGGUGCAGCCCUGAUUGGUUUUGAAAGAAAUAGAUGAAGAUCUAAAAGGUAAGGCAUAUCUUCAGUUGUCACAAAAGAAAAAGCUGUACCGGUCCNNNNNNNNUUGCAGCUCGCCCCACUCGAUGGACAAAAAUUUUUGGUUUUGGGGGGAAGUCCCAAUUGAUGACAUUAUCAAGCAAUGGAAUGUCAAUGCCCCUAGCAGC